rnacentral:misc_RNA from 1 species
GAUACAAGCCAAUCUUCCAGAUAACUUGCCCUCUAAUAUUGAAGCUAUAGCUCAUUCAUUCAUGCUGACGCUUAUUUCUUCACGAUUGAAGAACCCAAGUGACGGCCUCUUGGUCCGCUUCUUUCAGCUUUCCCUAUCUCUCAGGAAUUUAUCGUUGGACCCUAACAAUGGUAUGGGUGAUUUAUUGAAACAGCCUUCAAUAUUAUUUUGAGAGAGCAUAUGUACAUUUGACUUUCUUACCAUCUCUUCUCAGGGAUGUUAUGUCCAGCUUGCCAGAGAUCAAUUUUUGUAUUA